UACGGGGGGGGCAAGCGUUGUUCGGAAUUACUGGGCGUAAAGGGCUCGUAGGUGGCCAACUAAGUCAGACGUGAAAUCCCUCAGCUUAACUGGGGAACUGCGUCUGAUACUGGAUGGCUUGAGGUUGGGAGAGGGAUGCGGAAUUCCAGGUGUAGCGGUGAAAUGCGUAGAUAUCUGGAGGAACACCGGUGGCGAAGGCGGCAUCCUGGACCAAUUCUGACGCUGAGUGAGCGAAAGCCAGGGGAGCAAACGGG
rnacentral:rRNA from 1 species